rnacentral:miRNA from 1 species
UUUUUGUGAUGAUUGUUGAAA